UACGUAGGGGGCUAGCGUUGUCCGGAAUCAUUGGGCGUAAAGAGCGUGUAGGCGGUCCGGUAAGUCCGCUGUGAAAGUCGGGGGCUCAACCCUCGAAUGCCGGUGGAUACUGUCGGGCUAGAGUGCGGAAGAGGCGAGUGGAAUUCCUGGUGUAGCGGUGAAAUGCGCAGAUAUCGAGAGGAACACCUGCGGCGAAGGCGGUUCUCUGGGACGGUACUGACGCUGAGGCGCGAAAGCGUGGGGAGCGAACAGG
rnacentral:rRNA from 1 species